GAUGAAGAACGUAGCGAAAUGCGAUAAGUAAUGUGAAUUGCAGAAUUCAGUGAAUCAUCGAAUCUUUGAACACACAUUGCGCCCCCUGGAAUUCCGGGGGGCAUGCCUGUUCGAGCGUCUCAGGGACGAACCCUCGCGCGGGUGUACGCGCGGUCGUGGCUGCGGUGGCGUGCCCGAGGCGGCGGCCACCGCGCUGGAAUCCAUGGGCGGACGCCUGCCGCGUGGCCGAGCGUGAUAUGACGCAUUGGCGCUCGCACGCGGCGAGGCUGCCAGCCCUGGCCCGUCUGUCGGGCGGGGGAGAGCAAGACACGUGAACUCCUCGAAUCAGGUAGGGAUACCCGCUGAACUUAAGCAUAUCAAUAAGCGGAGGA
rnacentral:misc_RNA from 1 species